rnacentral:rRNA from 1 species
GAUGAACGCUAGCGGCAGGCUUAACACAUGCAAGUCGAGGGGUAACAUGAGUGCUUGCACUUGAUGACGACCGGCGCACGGGUGCGUAACGCGUAUAGAACCUACCUUAUAGUAAGGGAUAGCCCAGAGAAAUUUGGAUUAAUACCUUAUAGUAUCCUAAGUGAGCAUUCACUAAGGAUUAAAGAUUUAUUGCUAUAAGAUGGCUAUGCGUUCUAUUAGCUAGUUGGUAUGGUAACGGCAUACCAAGGCUACGAUAGAUAGGGGUCCUGAGAGGGAGAUCCCCCACACUGGUACUGAGACACGGACCAGACUCCUACGGGAGGCAGCAGUGAGGAAUAUUGGACAAUGGAGGCAACUCUGAUCCAGCCAUGCCGCGUGUAGGAAGACUGCCCUAUGGGUUGUAAACUACUUUUAUAGAGGAAGAAACCGCGAUAUGUAUAUCGCUCUGACGGUACUCUACGAAUAAGGAUCGGCUAACUCCG